ensembl:lncRNA
CUGUGGUAGGGCUGUGGUACGGCUGUGGUAGGGCUGUGGUAGGGCUCUGGUAAGGCUGUGGUAGGGCUGUGGUAGGGUUGUGGUACGGCUGUGGUAGGGCUGUGGUAAGGCUGUGGUAGGGCUGUGGUAGGGCUGUGGUAGGGCUGUGGUAAGGCUGUGGUAAGACUGUGGUAAGGCUGUGGUAGGGCUGUGGUAGGGCUGUGGUAGGGCUGUGGUAGGGCCGUGGUAGGGCUGUGGUAGGGCUGUGGCAAGGUAGGGCUGUGGUAGGGCUGUGGUAAGGCUGUGGUACGGCUGGGGUAGGGCUGUGGUAGGGCUGUGGUAAGGCUGUGGUAAGGCUGUGGUAUGGCUGUGGUACGGAUGUGGUAGGGCUGUGGUAGGGCUGUGGUAAGGUACGGCUGUGGUAAGGCGGUGGUAAGACUGUGGUAGGGCUGUGGCAAGGUAGGGCUGUGGUAGGGCUGUGGUAAGGUAUGGCUGUGGUAGGGCUGUGGUAAGACUGUGGUAGGGCUGUGGUAGGGCUGUGGUAAGGUAUGGCUGUGGUAGGGCUGUGGUAAGACUGUGGUAGGGCUGUGGUAGGGCUGUGGUAAGGUAUGGCUGUGGUAGGGCUGUGGUAAGGCUGUGGUAAGGCUGUGGUAGGGCUGUGUUAGGGCUGUGGUAAGGUACGGCUGUGGUAAGGCGGUGGUAAGACUGUGGUAGGGCUGUGGCAAGGUGGGGCUGUGGUAAGUUAUGGCUGUGGUAGCGCUGUGGUAAGACUGUGGUAGGGCUGUGGUAAGGCUGUGGUAGGGCUGUGGUAAGGCUGUGGUAAGUCUGUGGUAGGGCUGUGGUAAGG